AAUCACUUUCUGGCAGACGAUCACUUUUUGGCACAACACCGGUAACGGUACAUCGAGAGUAAACAAGAUCAACAGCUAUUCUAACUACAAGAUGAGGACAGGAUGACUUCAUUCCUUCCGCUUCUUUUUUAUUCUGUUUCAUCUGCAGCGGAGUUGCUGAUGGGGAGGAAGCCCAGAUCUCAUCUGGAUCUUCUUUGCCCAGAUGUGGGAGCCAGAGUCAACCGGUCACAAGUGGUUCCCACAGUGCAUGUCCUCCAGAAGACUCCCUUCUCUCUAGUCACCUGCCACGCUACAGGUUUCUAUCCUAAUACAGCCAUGAUGUUCUGGAGGAAAGAUGGAGAUCCAUGACCAUGUGGAGAAAGGAGAGAUUCUCCACAACCAUGACGGGACCUUCCAGUUGAGUGUUAACAUGAACGCUUCAUCAGUGCCAUCUGAAGACUGGACGAGCUACAGCUGUGUGUUCCAGUUCUCUGGUGUGGAGGACAUCAUCGUCACCGCACUAAACAAAUCAACGAUCAGGACCAAUUGGGAAAGGCGUGCUCACACGAAGAUCCCCGUCACUGCUGCUGUGGUUGUUCUUGUUCUUCUCAUCCUCGUUGCUGCAGUUGGAUUUGUUGUUUACAAAAAGAAGAAAUGUGAGAGCUCUAAAGAAGCUCCUAACAACCUCUCUGAACUCUCUGAGAGACUGAA